AUGUUCACCCGCCGCGCGUAUUUCGCUCACGUGCUUGUGUUAUUUUUAAACUCGCCACUCAUUUUCGCCAGUUUAGAGGGUAACUGUUGUUCGAGGGCCGAAGGUGCAUGCCGAAGUGCUUGUGAGCAGGUAAGAAAGGAAUUUGCUUUCUUGAAUUUUGAAACCUGUCAUCAAUCUAUCUCCGUCAAAUUUUGCGGCCGAUACACAAGCCCGAUUGCAGCGAGUUGCAGAUCUCGAAAACGUUUGCAAUCCUCAAUUGGUAAGUUGAUUUCUGUAUAUUUGUAUUAUCGAGCAUUGCAGCAUGCCUUUUAUUUUAAACCUUUCAAAUCCUUCACUCCCAGUUAGUCGCAAUGUCUCGUAUUAUUUUCACCUCGCAUUCCACUGUUAUUUUAUUUUAACCAUAAACAGCUUCAACUAGUCAAAAAUGCUUAAUUUGUGCCAGCAACCGAUAGCAAACAUUUCAUGUGAUCAGAGAGUAUAUCUUGUAGAAAAUGAUGCGC
rnacentral:lncRNA from 1 species